rnacentral:rRNA from 1 species
GAUGAACGCUGGCGGCGUGCCUAAUACAUGCAAGUCGAGCGGACAGACGAUGAGCUUGCUCCUCUGACGUUAGCGGCGGACGGGUGAGUAACGCGUGGAUAACCUACCUAUCAGACUGAUAUAACUUCGGGAAACCGGAGCUUAUCCCGUAGAAGCUAUUGAACCGCGUGGGGCAAUAGUGAGAGACGGUUUUGCUGGCACUUCUAGAUGGAUCCACGCCGGAUGGGCUGGUUGGUCAGUUAACGGCUUACCAAGGGAAGGCGGCGUAGCCGAGCUGAGAGGCUGAUCGGCCACCCUGGAGCGGAGACACGGUCCAUACUCCUACGGGAGGCCGCAGUAGGGAACGUUCCGCAAUGGGCGAAAGCAUGACGCAGCAGCGCCGCGCGAGUGACGAAGGUCUUCGGUGCGUAAAAAUCUGUUAUUAGGGAAGAACAAAUGUGUACGUAACCAUGCCCGUCUUGACGGUACCUAAUCAGAAAGCACCGGCUAACUACGUG